AGCUUGCUCCUCUGACGUUAGCGGCGGACGGGUGAGUAACACGUGGAUAACCUACCUAUAAGACUGGGAUAACUUCGGGAAACCGGAGCUAAUACCGGAUAAUAUAUUGAACCGCAUGGUUCAAUAGUGAAAGACGGUUUUGCUGUCACUUAUAGAUGGAUCCGCGCCGCAUUAGCUAGUUGGUAAGGUAACGGCUUACCAAGGCAACGAUGCGUAGCCGACCUGAGAGGGUGAUCGGCCACACUGGAACUGAGACACGGUCCAGACUCCUACGGGAGGCAGCAGUAGGGAAUCUUCCGCAAUGGGCGAAAGCCUGACGGAGCAACGCCGCGUGAGUGAUGAAGGUCUUCGGAUCGUAAAACUCUGUUAUUAGGGAAGAACAAAUGUGUAAGUAACUAUGCACGUCUUGACGGUACCUAAUCAGAAAGCCACGGCUAACUACGUGCCAGCAGCCGCGGUAAUACGUAGGUGGCAAGCGUUAUCCGGAAUUAUUGGGCAUAAAGCGCGCGUAGGCGGUUUUUUAAGUCUGAUGUGAAAGCCCACGGCUCAACCGUGGAGGGUCAUUGGAAACUGGAAAACUUGAGUGCAGAAGAGGAAAGUGGAAUUCCAUGUGUAGCGGUGAAAUGCGCAGAGAUAUGGAGGAACACCAGUGGC
rnacentral:rRNA from 1 species